rnacentral:rRNA from 1 species
CUACGGGAGGCUGCAGUGAGGAAUUUUGCGCAAUGGGGGCAACCCUGACGCAGCAACGCCGCGUGAGUGAAGAAGGCCUUUGGGUCGUAAAGCUCUGUCAAUUGGGAAGAAGUUAGUUGUAUUAAAUAGAUGCAGCUAUUGACGGUACCAAUGGAGGAAGCGCCGGCUAACUCCGUGCCAGCAGCCGCGGUAACACGGGGGGCGCAAGCGUUAUUCGGAAUUAUUGGGCGUAAAGGGCGCGUAGGCGGCCUUGUCAGUCAGAUGUGAAAGCCCGGGGCUCAACCCCGGACGUGCAUUUGAAACAGCAAGGCUUGAGUACGGGAGAGGAAAGCGGAAUUCCUGGUGUAGAGGUGAAAUUCGUAGAUAUCAGGAGGAACACCGAUGGCGAAGGCAGCUUUCUGGACCGAUACUGACGCUGAGGCGCGAAGGCGUGGGUAGCGAACGGGAUUAGAUACCCCAGUAGUC